AGUGAACGCUGGCGGUAGGCCUAACACAUGCAAGUCGAACGGCAGCACAGUAAGCGCUUGCUCUUAAGGUUGGCGAGUGGCGGAUGGGUGACGCAUACAUCGGAAUCUACUUUUUCGUGGGGGAUAACGUAGGGAAACUUACGCUAAUACCGCAUACGUCCUACGGGUGAAAGCAGGAGAUCUUCGGACCUUGCGCGAUUGAAUGAGCCGAUGUCGGAUUAGCUAGUUGGCGGGGUAAAGGCCCACCAAGGCGACGAUCCGUAGCUGGUCUGAGAGGAUGAUCAGCCACACUGGAACUGAGACACGGUCCAGACUCCUACGGGAGGCAGCAGUGGGGAAUAUUGGACAAUGGGCGCAAGCCUGAUCCAGCCAUACCGCGUGGGUGAAGAAGGCCUUCGGGUUGUAAAGCCCUUUUGUUGGGAAAGAAAAGCAGCAGGUUAAUACCCCGCCGUUCUGACGGUACCCAAAGAAUAAGCACCGGCUAACUUCGUG
rnacentral:rRNA from 1 species